rnacentral:rRNA from 1 species
UACGUAGGGCGCAAGCGUUGUCCGGAAUUAUUGGGCGUAAAGAGCUCGUAGGCGGCCAGUUGCGUCCGCUGUGAAAUCCCGGGGCUUAACCCCGGGCGUGCAGUGGAUACGGGCUGGCUGGAGGCAGGCAGGGGAGAACGGAAUUCCUGGUGUAGCGGUGAAAUGCGCAGAUAUCAGGAGGAACACCGGUGGCGAAGGCGAGUCUCUGGACAUUUCCUGACGCUGAGGCACGAAAGCCAGGGGAGCAAACGGG